GAUCGGUAGCUGGUCUGAGAGGAUGAUCAGCCACACUGGGACUGAGACACGGCCCAGACUCCUACGGGAGGCAGCAGUGGGGAAUAUUGCACAAUGGGCGCAAGCCUGAUGCAGCCAUGCCGCGUGAAUGAUGAAGGCCUUAGGGUUGUAAAAUUCUUUCGCUAGGGAUGAUAAUGACAGUACCUAGUAAAGAAGCCCCGGCUAACUUCGUGCCAGCAGCCGCGGUAAUACGAAGGGGGCUAGCGUUGUUCGGAAUUACUGGGCGUAAAGCGCGCGUAGGUGGUUAGGUAAGCGAGAUGUGAAAGCCCCGGGCUUAACCUGGGAACGGCAUUUCGAACUGUCUGACUAGAGUGUGGUAGAGGGUAGUGGAAUUUCCUGUGUAGCGGUGAAAUGCGUAGAUAUAGGAAGGAACACCAGUGGCGAAGGCGGCUAACUGGACUGAUACUGACGCUGAGGUGCGAAAGUGUGGGGAGCAAACAGGAUUAGAUACCCUGGUAGUCCACACCGUAAACGAUGAGUGCUAGUUGUCUGCAGGCAUGCCUGUAGGUGACGCAGCUAACGCAUUAAGCACUCCGCCUGGGGAGUACGGCCGCAAGGUUAAAACU
rnacentral:rRNA from 1 species